rnacentral:rRNA from 1 species
AUUGAACGCUGGCGGCAUGCCUUACACAUGCAAGUCGAACGGCAGCAUGAUCUAGCUUGCUAGAUUGAUGGCGAGUGGCGAACGGGUGAGUAAUACAUCGGAACGUGCCCUGUAGUGGGGGAUAACUAGUCGAAAGAUUAGCUAAUACCGCAUACGACCUGAGGGUGAAAGUGGGGGACGCCAAGGCUCCAUGCUUUAGGAGCGGCGGAUGUCUGAUUAGCUAGUUGGUGAGGUAAAGGCUCACCAAGGCGACGAUCAGUAGCUGGUCUGAGAGGACGAUCAGCCACACUGGGACUGAGACACGGCCCAGACUCCUACGGGAGGCAGCAGUGGGGAAUUUUGGACAAUGGGCGAAAGCCUGAUCCAGCAAUGCCGCGUGUGUGAAGAAGGCCUUCGGGUUGUAAAGCACUUUUGUCCGGAAAGAAAUGGCUCUGGUUAAUACCUGGGGUCGAUGACGGUACCGGAAGAAUAAGGACCGGCUAACUACGUG